rnacentral:rRNA from 1 species
ACUCAAAGGAAUAGACGGGGGCCCGCACAAGCGGUGGAGCAUGUGGUUUAAUUCGACGCAACGCGAAGAACCUUACCCAGACUUGACAUGCACUGGACCGGUGUGGAAACACACCUUCCCUUCGGGGCCCGUGCACAGGUGCUGCAUGGCUGUCGUCAGCUCGUGUCGUGAGAUGUUGGGUUAAGUCCCGCAACGAGCGCAACCCUUGUCCUUAGUUGCUAACGGGUAGAGCUGAGCACUCUAAGGAGACUGCCGGUGAUAAACCGGAGGAAGGUGGGGAUGACGUCAAGUCCUCAUGGCCCUUACGUCUGGGGCUACACACGUGCUACAAUGGCCGGCACAAAGGGUUCCGAUACCGCGAGGUGGAGGCAAUCCCAAAAAACCGGUCUCAGUUCGGAUUGCAGUCUGCAACUCGACUGCAUGAAGUCGGAAUCGCUAGUAAUCGCUGAUCAGCAGGCAGCGGUGAAUACGUUCCCGGGCCUUGCACACACCGCCCGU